GCUCAGCUUUCCCCGCACGUGGGGCUGCAGGGCGGAGAGCCAAACUUGCAGCUCUCAGACCGAGCCCCUGAGCAGGCCUCUUCAGCUCCCGUGGACCCCGGGUCAGCCCAGCUUUCUAGGUCCGGCCUUUCCCCGUUCCACGCCUCGCUGACCCCACUGCACAAAGCCGAGGCGGGGUACGGUGAGGAGGGACGUCUGGAAAGGCGGUGUUGUUGGUGGAAGGGAGAGGGCAGAGAUACUGUCACAUGUCAGCCUCUUUCUAGGUGCGGCUUCCUCCCGGAUCUCUCCACUGCCCUCCAGGGCAUCCCUACCAGCCUCACGCUCCCUCCCUCCGGGGCGUCCAGCCUUCUUACCUCCCUCCUCCUCCUUACCUCCUCGCUGCUAGUCCUUGACUCCCUCCACCCUGCCCCAGCCUUGCCAGCCUGCCGCUCCCUGUCUACCUCUGCAGUUUGUGCAAAGCCCAUCUGCCAGCCCCAGCCCCAACCCCACCAAUGGGGCUCCAAACAGGAGCAAGCCAUCUGCCCAGCCUCUGCCCCGGGGCUUGCCAGGACAGCCUGGAGGGCCCCAUGGGCACUCCUCCCUCUCAGGGAGGGGGAGACUGGGAGUGGAAGUGAGGGCACCUGACAGCUAACCACAUCCAUACCCGUGGAAGCACAGGGUGAUCUCGCCACAUGCCUACAAAUGCCUGGCAGGUCUCCAUGCACCGCGAGGGCGCCCUGCCCGCUCUGUUCCCCUGUCACUCCAGUCACCCCCAUCGGGAGCUACGGCAGAUCCUGGCACAGUCAGGCUAGAGAAACCCUGGCCUUCUCCCCUCGGAAGAGGGAUUUGGUCCACGCUCCCUGACCUGACAUGGAGGAUGAGACCCUGGCAGCACCCCCCCCCCCCAGGAGGCUGGCUGGAGGAGGGGAGGGAGGGACAAAGGAAAGCAGCUCGCACAAGGGGCAGGACAGGACCCUGUUGCAGAGGCAGAAAUCCACCCAUGGAGCACAUUCCUGCUCUACCCGUCCUCCUCUGUCCUCCCCUGCCCGACCCGGAAUGCCUGCCGCACCGGGUAGAAGUAAUGCCCGUUCCUGUCACGUAUGUGAACUGCCAGCAAUGCCUCAUCAUCAUGCCACACUACAGAUGGCUCCGAUCACCACGGUGUCCGAGGAAGCUGCACGGAGGACAUCACUCGAUCGCGGCACUCAGACGUGCACCCCGCUUCCCGAGCCGGCUCCCCGCUUGGUGCGUGGGCACCCACAGCCAGCUUGAGGUGAGGAGGGAGGCACAGUCUUGCCAGCUGCACAGGCACCACCUCGUACCCCGUGAUCUAACUGCCCUGGUCGUCCUGCCACCUGUCUCAGCCCUUCUUCCUCAGGCGCCGCCCCAGACCCUCGCGUGAACCAGGCCGGAGCUGCCUCCUAGGUGGAGAAGAGCAUCCCUUGAUGUGUGAGUCCAUUUGGAGGGACUCCCGGAAGUGCUGCAUCCACUCUCCACUGUGGUCAAGGGCAAGGAGGUGUGCAUGAAGGGCUUCUAAGAUCUUGGUUCCUUUGGCAACAUCAGAGAUGGACAGCACUGCUGAAACCACCUGGCCCCUCCCACUGCACUUGGCCUUGCUCAUGGAGAAGCCUUACUGAGCCUCAGCCCCUGCAGAUCCACGGGAGAUUGCCUGGGGGAUUAAGUGGACGAUGUGUCCGAUGGAAAUCCACACGGAUGGGAAAAGCGGAGAAAUGACAACACACAGGACUGGAAGCAGCAAAGCUGGCGGACGGUGCACUUGGCUGGAGCCAAGCUGGAGGCAGCAGCGUUGAAGCAGAAAACCAACCUGCGGAGUUCCCCAAAGUCUCGUGAACUGGCACCCACAGGUUCCUUUGGAUCAGUUAGUUACCCACAGGGGGAGAACAUAAAUAAAAGCAGGAUUUGGUGGAAGUUGUCUGAGAUGGAACUGGAUCCCUAGAUCCCUCAUCCACUCUGCGACACCAGGGGACCCCCCCUCCCCUUCCCUUUCUCUGGAGUGGGGGUGCUUAGCACUGGCGGUUGACAGGCUCGGUGAGGGCCAUUCCACAUAGGUGAGGAAGUGACCAUUCACAUACAGAAUGUUGUAUCCUUGCCCUUAGGACCCUAGCCCCCUUCUCCUCAGCUCCCGGAAGCUGACUGCCUGGCCUCUGCCGUCCAGCCUGGGGGCUGGGAGAGGUCUCUCCAGGGGUGACCAGCCCAAGAGGAAAGACCUAGAUAGACACUCAACACUGGAGGAGCCCGACAGGAAGCCCCUCUGACCACCGUGCAAGGGAGCGUCCCACGGACAAGCCCACCACCCACUCGGUGCUUCCAGACAGCUUUGGCAGGGUCACCUGCCGACCCAGCACCAACCACGUACGUAUAACCUGGGAGCAAAGGAACUUUAGGAAACGAGCUGCACAGAGAAGAGGCAGUAACUCAAAAUUAUUAUUAAUAUUCCCAGAGAGGCAAGACAUGAAACGUAUUUGGCCUCCAUGAAAUAAGAACAGGAAGGAGUCCAUCGAAAAGAACUAUCUGGAGAAUACAGCACCUUAAAAUAACAGAAUCAAAGUCACUGAAAUUUUUAUUAUAAAAUCAGUUUCAACUUAUGUAUUACCAAUCCUAUCAUGUUCCUAAGAAAAAGACUCGAGGAGGCUUAUAACACACGCACAGUGUAACCAGGAUAAAAAUAAUUAAUGAGAAAAUGAAGGACCCAGAAAAUAAAGAAAAGGAAGAUGAAGCCGAGUAUCACAUUCAUAUGCAAAAUUUGGUCCAUGAGGUCCUUAGGAAGGGAAUUAUGCUUGCAGUACCCCAACUUAAAGGCAAUACUCAUGACUUCCAUUGUCUUUACACCUUGGUUGCUUUCUGUUUGCGCUUGAGUAAAUCCCGAGGACCACUCUGCCUGUGGAACGACCCACGUGCAGAAGACGGCCCCCUUCCUGCCCAUCUGCACCUACCCUAUGUGCCAAUUUUAUCUCCUGGGCAGGAAGAAACUGUCUUUUUUAUUCUCCGUGACUGCUCACUGUCCCAAAGCAGUACCCUGCACCCAGGUACUUACGUAGCUUGUAUUUCGUUAGCCAUUUCUUCCUGCCUUUUUAGAAACGAAAGAAAAGGGGACACACCUCACUCGGGUAUCUGAAGCCUUGUUAAAAUAUUAUGCGAAGCUGGUCUAAGAAUAAAUCCCCUUAAAGAACCCGGGAUGAUGAGUCGGACUCUGCCAGCCAAAGCGGAGAUAAAGAAAAAUCAUCUCAUGAAUCCUUUUGGGUUUGAGCCCAUCAUCUGUAUUCAGUGACCCUAAUGUUUCGCGUUCUAAGUUUUGAAAUGAGAAAGGUGCAUUCUAAACUUUUUAGAGAAGGAAUUUAGUUCCGUGCAGUGGAAAGGCUGGGCAGAAGGGGGUAGAUAAUGAGGGAGGGUGGAGGACGAAAGGCCAGGAGAACCAUUAAACAGAACCAGAAAAAGCAGUUCUCCCUCACAGAAAAAUUUUGAUUUUGAAA